rnacentral:rRNA from 1 species
UACGUAGGUGGCAAGCGUUGUCCGGAAUUAUUGGGCGUAAAGCGCGCGCAGGCGGUCCUUUAAGUCUGAUGUGAAAGCCCACGGCUCAACCGUGGAGGGUCAUUGGAAACUGGGGGACUUGAGUGCAGGAGAGAAGAGUGGAAUUCCACGUGUAGCGGUGAAAUGCGUAGAGAUGUGGAGGAACACCAGUGGCGAAGGCGGGUCUCUGGGCCGUAACUGACGCUGAGGUGCGAAAGCGUGGGGAGCGAACAGG